ensembl:lncRNA
GGUGAUGCCUAAUGGGCAUGUCUGUCUUGUUGGCAUUGCACGACUCCUGCCAGAGUGGCCAAUGAAGAGAUCCAAAAUCAGGCUUCAGACUGUGUGGAUGUCCUGGGACUCUCUUCCUAGAGGGUUGGAUAAAUCUGCACCCAACCACCCAGCCUCCCAGUUACUGCUCCCAUAGGGCAGCUGGAGCAAAGGGACUCAACUAGCUGAGUUUGAGUCUGAGCUUCCUGCUACUUCCUCAGCUUUGUCUUCCUUGGCUUGAUUAAGGACUGUCUCACAGAAGCCCUGAAACAACAUGUCUAAUUUUGGAGGAAAUUGUACGUUUAAAGGUUAGAGAUCUUGGGUCCAUUGGUCAGAACUGGCAGGAAGCAAGAGAAGUUCCAACCUCAGAGAAGAUGGCCCAGGACAAGGGGCAGAGAGCACACUCUGGAGUUAUUUGGACAGUGCAGAGAAGAGGUGAAAUGUGACAAUGCCCCUUUAGCAGUUCCUCAAGCUGUUUCAUGUUCCACUGUUCAAAUUGCAGCCUCCAGGCUGAGUCUAAAAAUAAUUAAAAUUGCUAAUGGUUUAAUUUGGUCAGCUUUUGUCCCUGUGCACUAAGAACAGCAGUAGUUAUAAGUUAUUGAACAUUGUUUUAGGUCUUUCUGCCAAUACAAGCUGGUGAGUGCCUUUGUGUUUAGAAAAUCAAUACUGAUUGCAUACCUGUUUCAUUUAAGUACUUUGUGAGCCUUUCUAUGCCUCUCAUUUUGGGAAGUGAUUAGACAUGAGCCAGACCUAAGUUUUAAGCCAUCUUUUCCCCUGGAGCACCAACGUGGGGGUAUAAUAAGCAAAAGAGUAUGAGAAAAAGAACCCACUAUCUCAUGGUCAUGGACCAGGCUUCCCUAGAACUGGAUCUCUAGCUACCUGCCCCUAGAGCAGAUGAAGCUCUUAAAGCAGAGGGAAAGGGAGCAGUAUUUCUGUUCCUCUGGGCCACUUAGUGAUUACUAUUAUAUGAUAUAUAGUUAUUUAUAUUAUAUAUAAACCAUUUGGUGGUUACUAUUACAUAUAAUUAUUCAUAUAUAACAUACGUAUAUAAAUGGCUGGCCAUUUUUUUCUCUAGCUCUUUUAACAGAUGAGGAAAAUAGGGCAAAAAAGGGUGUUAAGGGACUUGCUGAGGAUCACCCAGUUAGUAUCUGAUGCCAGAUUUGAACUCAGGAUGAUGUCUUCCUGACUCCAGGCAUGGCAUUCUAUUCACUGGGUGACCUGGCUAACUAAUAGGUAGAUAUUUUCAAAUGAUUCUACCUUUGUAUCUGAUUCAUUGCUCUUAAUCAAAUGUUCCAGAGUAUCUGAUAUGUGGGAUGGAUGUCUUCUUAAAGAGUACCAAGAAUGGAUCUGGAAUAUUCCCCUCCAAGGGAAGCUACUGACUUUUUAGACUUUGCCUCAGCUGCAAUCUCACCAUGAAACAUUCCUCUGUACCUGGGAACUUCUCACCAUAGAACAUUACCCAUUUUCCUUGUCUGCUUCCUUCUCCCAUUGGUGAAUUCCUCCUGUUGCUUUUGAGGAGAAACCUAGGCUGGCCAACCUUGAUUCCUCUAUCCACCAUGCUUCUGAUUUUACUGAUUUCAAGAGCAGGCUCUGACUCCAGUAUCUCUCCCCCCCCCCUUUUUUAAUUCCCUUUUGUGUGUUGUCUUCCUCUAUUAGAAUGUAAGCUUCUUGAUAAUUAGGAAAAAGACUUGUACAAGAAUAUUCAUAGCUGCACUCUUUGUGGUGGCAAAAAUUUGGAAAAUUAAGGGAUGCCCUUCGAUUGGGGAAUGACUGAACAAAUUGUGGUAUCUGUUGGUGAUGGAAUUCUAUUGUGCUCAAAGGAAUAAUGAACUGGAGGGAUUCCAUGUGAACUGGAACGACCUCCAGGAAUUGAUACAGAGUGAAAGAAGCAGAAGCAGGAGAACGUUGUACACGGAGACAGAUACAUUAUAGCACAAUCAAGUGUAAUGGACUUUUCUACUAGCAGCAAUGCAAUGAUCCAGGACCAUUUUGAGGAACUUAUGAGAAAGAAUGGAUCCACAUCCAGAGAAAGAACUGUGGGAGCAGAAACACUGAAGAAAAACAACUAUUUGAUCACAUGAAUCGAUGGGGAUAUGAUUAGGGAUGUAGACUCUAAAGGAUCACCCUGGUGCAAAUAUCAAUAAUAUGGAAAUAGAUCUUGAUCAAUGACACAUGUAAAACCCAAUGGAAUUGUGCAUUGGCUACAGGAGGGGGGGAGGAGGAAGGGAGGGAAAGAACAUGAAUUGUAACCAUGGAAAAAUAGUCUAAAUUAAUCAAUAAAAUUAAAUUAAAAAGAAAAAAGAAUGUAAGC